CCCUCCUCCUCCUCCUCCCCCAACUCCGGUCCAACCUCGCCUGCACCCGCCUGCCCCCCCGUCCCGUCCCGCGGCGCCCCCCUCUCGCCACGGGCGGCGCGGGGUGGGCAGAGAGGGGGGAGGUUCGAAUCCCUGCUCCCCUUCCUUGUUGCACCGCGUGUCGGCCCAGAUGGAGAGCCCAGGGAGGGAGGCCAGGGAGUUACGGGCCAGGCGGAGGCCUGUUCCGCGCAUGCCCCGCCUCCCCCCGCUGCGUCCAAUCACCAGCCUCAGCUUCACGCGCAGCUUUACCUUUUCCUUUUUCGAGCUGCCGGUCCACCAGACGGCCAGCUGUCGCGCCGAGCGGGUCCGCCACGUCAUGCUCCUGCUGAGGCAGAUGCAGUACUGAGCCCUGGGUUGGCUCUCCCUCUCUCUGUGGGUCACAGUGGGGCUUGUACCAGGGUCGAGGUUUCACAUCAACGUUAGCUUUUGGUGGGGGUCUCCAAAUCAGAUGCUAACAAGACAACCCUGUUAUCCAUCGCCUGUCUCCCAGUGUUAGACCCCCCCCCCCCCCCCCCAAGUCUCACGGUCAGACUUUAGCAAUGCUUGUGAGUGACUGUGCGUCUGUCUGUCUGUCUGUCUGUCUGUCUGUCUGUCUGUCUGUGGUGCGUACGUGUGCCUGCAAACCUUUUAAUCCUACUGGAUAAUAUAUAAAUGAAUGCCUUAGUUAAAAUGAACAUAAUUACUAAACAUGAACACCAUUAGAAAAUCUUUAAUCGUCCAGUAGUUAACUUUCAAUAAACAAAUUAUUAGUUAAUGCUUUUUACUGUCGAAUAAAUGUUUAAUAAAGGUAUAUUAAUCGGUAACCCUUCCUUUUACAGUCCCCUAAUUACUAGGUAUUUACCUGGUAAAUAUAUGGUAAAUCAUAGAUAUUAUUGGGUAAUUACCACUGGUAAUAAUAAGGUAAAUACAGAGGAACUACAGCUGAAGAAAAACCUCCACUAUUGCCCAUCAACUCAACUAAGUACCGUGUAUUUGUAACUGUUUUAAGUUGGUAAUAACUCAGAUAUAAUUGUGUACUUCAUAGGAAAGUAAGCAACCAAUUCUUAGAAACAACUCUUCUAUUACCCAUCAAUUCAAGUUACAACUGUAGUUAUCCAAGGUUUAUGUUGGUAACAGCCAAAGUCUAAUUAUGUACUAUCUAGAAAUUAACAUAGUACUUUCCAAUAAAUUACUUUUUCUUA